rnacentral:rRNA from 1 species
GACGAGCGCUGGCGGCGUGCUUAACACAUGCAAGUCGAACGGAAAGGCCCUGCUUUUGUGGGGUGCUCGAGUGGCGAACGGGUGAGUAACACGUGAGUAACCUGCCCUUGACUUUGGGAUAACUUCAGGAAACUGGGGCUAAUACCGGAUAGGAGCUCCUGCUGCAUGGUGGGGGUUGGAAAGUUUCGGCGGUUGGGGAUGGACUCGCGGCUUAUCAGCUUGUUGGUGGGGUAGUGGCUUACCAAGGCUUUGACGGGUAGCCGGCCUGAGAGGGUGACCGGCCACAUUGGGACUGAGAUACGGCCCAGACUCCUACGGGAGGCAGCAGUGGGGAAUAUUGCACAAUGGGCGGAAGCCUGAUGCAGCAACGCCGCGUGCGGGAUGACGGCCUUCGAGUUGUAAACCGCUUUCGCCUGUGACGAAGCGUGAGUGACGGUAAUGGGUAAAGAAGCACCGGCUAACUACGUG